UUUCCCAUUUGACUGCUACUUAUUUGGACCACAAAAUAAGUGGCUAUGCUUAUGGGAUAAAGAAACUACUGCCAGUGUCUGAAGGAGAAGGCUGACAUUGUCUUUUUCCUAUAUGAAAUGGCAGAACAUUGUUAA
rnacentral:snoRNA from 1 species